AACUAAGUUUAAGGAACUUUUAAAUUAUAUAAUCUGAAUUAUUAUAUUAGCACAGAAAGGAAGGUGGCAGCAGAAGCUUGAAUUACAUGAUGAGGAAAAUAGUGGAGAUAUCUAAGUGCAUAUGGUUUUAUGAGGAUAUCAUCCUUGAAAAGAGGAAUCUAUAAACAACAUUAACUAAUGAAUAUUUAGACCAUCCACAAUGGUAAGUGCUUCAUUUAUUUAGUACCACAUUAAACAUGCAUCUUCAUUAUAGAGUAUAAUAUAUGGGUGCUUAUGGACAAAGGUGGCUAAGGAAGCAUCAUCUCUCUCUUCAUUUUUCGCAUGUCCCAUUUAACAAAUUUUGUUGAAAUGUAAUGAUUUAGAAUUAUUUGUCGAACCUAUUUAAUAAUUUCUUUUGAGGUGUUGGGUUGAAGAAAACUGGUGUUUAUUAAGUAGUACCGUAUAAUGAGUGAUGUGAACACAGAUGACCCAUUUAAGCAUCCAAUUUGAGGUGAUAUGCUAUGAAUGGUCUUAGUAUGAGAUUGUCGAACAAUAAAAAAGUAAGCUCCCAUACAUUUAAUACAUAUGCAACAUUUUAAUGAAGCGAGUUUGACAUUUAAGGAAGGUUCAGUAUGAUAGGAUUAAAAAAUAAUUAAUUUAUCUUUUUCUAUUAGU
rnacentral:lncRNA from 1 species